AAGAGGUGGGGUUUCAGGUGUCUCCGGAAGGUGGUGAUUGACUCCGCUGUCCUGGCGUUAGGUACGUGUAAUCGGGCUGUGUGUUAUCGUUUUAACUUCCAGUUUCGAAGAUUAUGUUUCUGUAUGCAGUGCUGCUACUCUGCACAUUUGUAGGUACACUAUCCUUCUGACCCCAUGCAGACAGGUCCCAUCUACCUGAAUUGUGAUAACUGCAGUGGCCAAAACAAGAACACGUUUGUUCUCUGGUAUUGUGCCUGGCGGACUAUGCACAAGCUCCACCAGAGUCUGGACCUUCACAUUUUGAUCACAGGCCACCCCCGACUGGUGCUUCGGCCUCAUCAAGCAGCGCUUCAGAAAGACUAGAGUAAACACCUUGUCUGAGAUUGCUGGUGUUGUGAAGGACAACAAGGGUCAACAUCCCACAGCUGGUUGGACUGGAGGAUGGUACUGUGCUGGUGGAAAGCUAUGGCUGGCAACAACACCUGACUUACAUCAGGCUGCUGCCACAGUUCAGGCAGUUCCAGCACUUCAUUCUUCGAUCCUCUGGAGCCUGGUGUUGUUGUCGCAAAGGAGCGUUUGGACUCUCGGGACCAGGUUUCAGCUGCUGCAUAACACUGACAUCCUUCCUCCCAUAGAUGGUCUGCCUGUACAAGCACCACCUGGACUGGACACAGCUAGACAAACUUAUGUUUUUGAGAAGAUCCGGGAGUUUUGCGACGAAGAGGCUUUGGACAUCACAUGCCCUGCACCAAAGAGGGGAUGUUUUCUUCGGAGGGACUGGGAAACCGGUCAAAAUUGAAGAAAUUAUGAAUGGUGCUAUAUACAGGGAAAUCCUUGAGAGAAACCCGUUUCAGUCUUCCAGAGAUUUGCGACUGGGAUGGACGUUCACCUUCCAGCAGGACAAUGACCCUAAGCAUACUGCUGAAAGCAACAGUUGAGUGGUUUAAGGGGAAACAUUUAAAUGUCUUGGAUUGGCCUAGUCAAAGUCCAGAUGUCAAUCCAAUUGAGAAUCUGUGGUAUGACCUAAAGAGUUUUGUACACCAGAGGAACCAAACUUGAAGGAGCUGGUGCAGUUUUGCCUUGAAGGAUGGGCAAAAAUCCCAGUAGCUAGAUGUGCCAAGCUUAUAGAGACGUACCCCAAGAGACUUGCAGCUAUAAUUGCUGAGAAAGUUAUUAUUAUUAUAACCCCCCAAAUGAUUGAUUUGGGGGGGGUUGAAUAGUUAUGCAGUCUCAAGUUUUCAAUUUGUGCGUCUUAUUUCUAAUUUGUUUCACACAAAAAAAAUAUUUUGCAUCUUGAAAGUGAUAUGCAUGUUAUGUAAAUCAAAUGAAACAAACCCCCCCAAAAUCUAUUUUCAUUCCAGGUUGUGAGCCAACAAAAUAGGAAAAAUGCCAAAGGGGUGAAUACUUUCGCAAGCCACUGUAUUUCAUGAUAAACUGUAGACCACACUACCUACUGUUGUGGUAAUUUCCUGUAUUACUAAAUGAGGAGAAUUUACAAACCACACACCAGUCAGAGUUAUACUUAAACUUCAUCUUUAAUUAUAUGAGCUUCAACAUAGCCCUUUGACUCUCAGAUGAAUUCAGUGUCUAUAAAUUAAUUCUGAGUGCGCCUAUAAGAGAAUAACAAGAUCUUUUAUAGCCAAGAUACACCCCUCUCAACUUACAUGACGAACCACAGAUCUUAGGAACAGUUCCCAAAGAAAGACAUUUACUUGAGAGAGGAGUAUCCCAUAGCCAGAUAGCAUUAGCUAUAAAUUAUCGUUCAGUUUGGUCUCUAAGACAAAGUUCUAAUCUCGUUUUGGUACUUCAUAGUACCAAAACAUUAACUCAUCCAAUGGCAUAUAUCAAUUGUCAACUCUAGAUACUCCCAUCUCAAGUAGAAUCCACUCCUGGACAAGCUCACCGAGGGGAGUGAGCCUCUAGGUCAUAUACUAUGAAAGAUAAGUGCAACAUCAGAUGGGUAAUACAAUGGUUCCAGACACCUCCCCCCAAUGGGAAAAGGAGGGGGUGACUGGCGUACAGACAUUGUGGAGCCCUUCACAUGGUUUAACAGACACAUUCACAUAUGAAGACAAUGUUCCAACCUGACCUCACCCCUCUCUGGGCCCUAAGGGACUUUUCCCUAGCUGAGAAGGGAAAAGUGCAACUGCCAACAAUAUAGUCCAAAAGGAAACAUUCUAAUGACAAGUAUUUCACAUAAGCAUAUUACGUAAAUAAAUAAAACAUCUUAUUUAUCUAUGUUACCUAACUAAUUCUGAUUCAUCCGCAACACUACCUUGAGAGUUUUCAUCUGUAUUCUUCGUAGUGGUUUACAUACCACCAGUCAGAGGCUGGAACUAUUGACAGCAUGGAAUGAGCUGUAUUCCGUGAUAAGCAAACAAGAAAACACUCACCCAGAAGCAGCGCUCCUAGUAGCCGGGAACUGUAAUGCAGGGAAACUUAAAUCGGUUUUACCAAAUUUCUA